ensembl:lncRNA
GAGGAGGUGAGGGCCCUGGCGGAGUGGACAGUCUACAGUGAGGAGGUGAGGGCCCAGGUGGAGUGGACAGUCUACAGGGAGGAGGUGAGGGCCCUGGCGGAGUGGUCAGUCUACAGUGAGGAGGUGAGGGCCCUGGCGGAGUGGAUAGUCUACAGUGAGGAGGUGAGGGCCCAGGCGGAGUGGUCAGUCUACAGGGAGGAGGUGAGGGCCCUGGCGGAGUGGACAGUCUACAGGAAGGAGGUGAGGACCCUGGAGGUGUUUUCGGUCUACGGUGAGGAGGUGAGGGCCCAGGUGGAGUGGACAGUCUACAGGGAGGAAGUGAGGGCCCUGGCGGAGUGUUCAGUCUACAGUGAGGAGGUGAGGGCCCAGGUGGAGUGGACAGGCUACAGGGAGGAGGUAAGGGCCCUGGCGGAGUGUUCAGUCUACAGGGAGGAGGUGAGGGCCCUGGCGGAGUGGUCAGUCUACAGGGAGGAGGUGAGGGCCCUGGCGGAGUGGUCAGUCUACAGGGAGGAGGUGAGGGCCCUGGCGGAGUGGACAGUCUACAGGGAGGAGGUGAGGGCCCAGGCGGAGUGGUCAGUCUACAGGGUGGAGGUGAGGGCCCUGGCGGAGUGGUCAGUCUACAGGCAGGAGGUGAGGGCCCUGGCGGAGUGGACAGUCUACAGGGAGGAGGUGAGGGCCCAGGCGGAGUGGUACCAUGAAAAUAACCUCAACAUCAACAAAAAAAAAGAGCUGAUCGUGUCCAGGAGACAACAGAGACAGCAC